UAAUUUGCACAACCUAAAGGUGCGCGGUUUAGAUACUGCGUUAAACGGGAAGAGUCGUACGAGGCUAACCAGCCUCAAAUCGAACGCUGCCCCCGCAACGGUGAUGGAGAAGACCUUUAAUAACCCACUGAUUCAGCCAGGUGCAAGCCACUGAAUUGGGAAGGGAAAGGAAACUGCUCCUCAGCCCGGAUACCGGCCUUAGGUCUUGAAGCUUG
rnacentral:ncRNA from 2 species